rnacentral:rRNA from 2 species
CAGGGAAUAUUGUGCAAUGAGCGAAAGCUUGACACAGCGACACCGCGUGUGGGAUGACGGUUCUAGGAUUGUAAACCACUUUCAGGAGGGAAGAAAAUGACGGUACCUCCACAAGAAGACCCGGCCAACUAUGUGCCAGCAGCCGCGGUAAUACAUAGGGGUCAAGCGUUGUCCGGAUUUAUUGGGCGUAAAGAGCUCGUAGGCGGUUCAACAAGUCGGUCGUAAAAGUUUAGGGCUCAACCCUAAAAUGUCGAUCGAUACUGUUGUGACUAGGAUACGGUAGAGGUGAAUGGAAUUCCGAGUGUAGCGGUGAAAUGCGUAGAUAUUCGGAGGAACACCAAUUGCGAAGGCAGUUCACUGGACCGUGAUCGACGCUGAGGAGCGAAAGCUAGGGGAGCAAACAGGAUUAGAUACCCUGGUAGUCCUAGCUGUAAACGAUGGAUACUAGAUGUAGGAACUGGAUUGACGGUUUCUGUAUCGUAGCUAACGCGUUAAGUAUCCCGCCUGGGGAGUACGGUCGCAAGACUA